GUGAUAAGUGAAAAUGACAAGAGUGGACCCAAGAAGGAUGACAUUUCAGUUAGAAAACCCCGGAUCCUCGCGGCUGGAUGUGUGUGCUGCAGGGGUGACACAUCAAAUAUGGGUUGCCACAAAUCCACAAAGUCCACACGGAAACUACCAGGCCUCUGUGCGCAGCAAGUGAAUCCACACAGGUGUUGGGGCUACUUGCUUAUGUGGGAUUUUUAUUUAAUUCCCAUCUCCUGAGAGCUGUGCUCCUAUCAUCAUUCACAGCUUAAUCUUGACAUGGAAAGAGCACUUACAGACACCGAGGACCCCCCAGAUCCCUUUGCUGACUGCCUGCCCCUUAUUCAGCUUUGACCCUUCCUCCUCCUUGCCUUGCUCGUCUUUGACUAGGUCAUUCCACUUGCCGAUACUCUGCCCAGCACGCUAUUCCCUGCAUGGCUCUCCCCACAGUUCACCACCUUGACCAUCGUGCAAGCCCCUACCCCUCCCUGCACACCAGGUUACUCUGUCCCCUAACCUACAGUUUACUUCCUGCCCCAAUACUUUCCACCAUGUGAUGCGUUGUUUGUUUGUUUACUUAUUUGUUUUCCGACAGCUGGUUCCUGCUAAGUACAGUUGUGCAGCUUGUGCGCUGCUCAAGGGCUGAAGAAGGUAACAAAAUAAUGCAGCUGGCACUCUGUUUACUCAGCCAGGGACUCUAGUGAACAACAUCGUCAGCGAGGAAUGCCUACUCCUACUUGGUCUGUGCAAGUUGCAUGCUAGGAGAAGAUGCCUUUUUUUUCUAAUCCAUACAAGUUGCAACCCUCAUCUCCUUCACUAAACAUCACUCUGCAAGAGAGGAACUUAGCACCUAGAACAGCUCCUGGCUCAUAGGAGAUGUACAGUAGGCACUACUGAAGCAACACAGCAAAACACAUGCAUCUAUUCUCCAAGGAUACAUUCAGCUCCUAUUAUGUGCCAGGCACUGUGCAGCAUACCAAAGCAACAACAAAAGUAAUAAUUUAACAAGGUUCCUGGCCAGCUGGUGGGUGGGGGUGUGAGCCCUGCUCUGUGCUGUCAUUCAAGAAUUUGGCCGAUGGAGCUCGCCAAACAGGACACAGGUUUCCAAGGUAAUUUUGGACAUCAACAUCCAGAUGGUCUAAGGAGAAAGGAAAGAACAUAAAGAAUUUCACAGGGGAUGUUUUUCUGGGCCAACCUACACAGAGCUUCGGCUCACAUUCCUUUGGGUAGAGCUGUCACAUGGUCACCUCUAAAUUCAAAAGAGGCUGGGAAAGGCAGCUGAGUUUGUGCUCAGGGGAAAAAUAAAAAAACUUAUAUAUGAUUUGAGCAGCUAGUAAUCUCUUCCUCAAAACUCAAGAACGAAACAGAGCAGUAUUCUCACUUCACAGAGUGAACCUGAAGCCUGGGAAUGCUCAUUUUCUUAGUAGCC
rnacentral:lncRNA from 1 species